AAAGUACUCCCUCCAUCUCAAAAUUCUUGUCUUAGAUUUGUCUAGAUAUGGAUGUAUCAAGUCACAUUUUAGUAUUAGAUACAUCCGUAUCUAGACAAAUCUAAGACAAGAAAUUUGGGACAGAGGGAGUAGUUG
rnacentral:pre_miRNA from 1 species